rnacentral:rRNA from 1 species
UUGAACGCUGGCGGAAUGCUUUACACAUGCAAGUCGAACGAUGAUUUCUAGCUUGCUAGAAUGAUUAGUGGCGAACGGGUGAGUAAUGUAUCGGAACGUAUCCAAUAAUGGGGGAUAACUAAUCGAAAGGUUGGCUAAUACCGCAUACGCCCUACGGGGGAAAGCAGGGGAUCUUCGGACCUUGCGUUAAUGGAGCGGCCGAUAUCUGAUUAGCUAGUUGGUGAGGUAAAAGCUCACCAAGGCGACGAUCAGUAGCUGGUCUGAGAGGACGACCAGCCACACUGGAACUGAGACACGGUCCAGACUCCUACGGGAGGCAGCAGUGGGGAAUUUUGGACAAUGGGCGAAAGCCUGAUCCAGCCAUUCCGCGUGAGUGAAGAAGGCCUUCGGGUUGUAAAGCUCUUUCGCAAGGGAAGAAACGAUGCAGUCGAAUAAACUGUGUUAAUGACGGUACCUUGAUAAGAAGCACCGGCUAACUACGU